UAGGGAAUCUUCGGCAAUGGGGGCAACCCUGACCGAGCAACGCCGCGUGAGUGAAGAAGGUUUUCGGAUCGUAAAGCUCUGUUGUAAGUCAAGAACGGGUGUGAGAGUGGAAAGUUCACACUGUGACGGUAGCUUACCAGAAAGGGACGGCUAACUACGUGCCAGCAGCCGCGGUAAUACGUAGGUCCCGAGCGUUGUCCGGAUUUAUUGGGCGUAAAGCGAGCGCAGGCGGUUUUGAUAAGUCUGAAGU
rnacentral:rRNA from 1 species